CAGCAGCCGCGGGAAUACGGAGGGUGCAAGCGUUAAUCGGAAUUACUGGGCGUAAAGCGCACGCAGGCGGUCUGACAAGUCCGAUGUGAAAUCCCCGGGCUUAACCUGGGAACUGCAUUUGAAACUGUCAGGCUGGAGUCUUGUAGAGGGGGGUAGGAUUCCAGGUGUAGCGGUGAAAUGCGUAGAGAUCUGGAGGAAUACCGGUGGCGAAGGCGGCCCCCUGGACAAAGACUGACGCUCAGGUGCGAAAGCGUGGGGAGCAAACAGGAUUAGAUACCCCGGUAGUCCCUGUCUCUUAUAC
rnacentral:rRNA from 1 species